ensembl:lncRNA
CUCAAACCAGGAAGGCAACUGCAUCCAUUUCUCUUGGUAAGUUUCAUCCCGUCUAGGUGUUUAAUUUUAUUGGUCCCUGGUGUGACUUUUUCCUUUCAAACAUACUGUAUCAUAGCAUAUCAAACGUUUGUUUCCGUGCCAUAGGCCGGUCUAGUACCAUCUACCCACAGCAUGUAAUACAUUAACAUGCAGGUCUGAUCCCUUUCCCUAUCUCUAACUGUUGUCUGUCUUUGAUGAAAAUUCAUAUUUAAUGAAAGGAGAGUCAGAACUCCAGCAAAUCUUUUGAAUUAAAAACCUUUUUAUUACAAAUUGUUUCAGCUCCAAGGGCCAGUACAUCAAGAGACAGACUAGUGCAACAUUUUGGGCCAGUCACUGAGGAGGAAGAAUCAGGAUGCCGGUGGGUGGAGUUGGGAGGGUCGUCAGCUACAUGGGAAACACCUGGGCCCGGUGUGUCCCAGGAUAAAUACACCACUUCCCCAUUCAUGGGGAGACUCUCUCCAUGCAGACACCUUUAUGGAUUUUGUUGUGUUUUUUUGUGUUUUUUUGGUUGUUUGCUUUGGCAUCUUUCAACACCCUGCAUUAUCACAUUCAUG